rnacentral:rRNA from 1 species
GUUAAGCGACUAAGCGUACACGGUGGAUGCCCUGGCAGUCAGAGGCGAUGAAGGACGUGCUAAUCUGCGAUAAGCGUCGGUGAGGUGAUAUGAACCGUUAUAACCGGCGAUUUCCGAAUGGGGAAACCCAGUGUGUUUCGACACACUAUCAUUAACUGAAUCCAUAGGUUAAUGAGGCGAACCGGGGGAACUGAAACAUCUAAGUACCCCGAGGAAAAGAAAUCAACCGAGAUUCCCCCAGUAGCGGCGAGCGAACGGGGAGGAGCCCAGAGCCUGAAUCAGUGUGUGUGUUAGUGGAAGCGUCUGGAAAGGCGUGCGAUACAGGGUGACAGCCCCGUACACAAAAAUGCACAUAUUGUGAGCUCGAUGAGUAGGGCGGGACACGUGGUAUCCUGUCUGAAUAUGGGGGGACCAUCCUCCAAGGCUAAAUACUCCUGACUGACCGAUAGUGAACCAGUACCGUGAGGGAAAGGCGAAAAGAACCCCGGCGAGGGGAGUGAAAAAGAACCUGAAACCGUGUACGUACA